rnacentral:tRNA from 1 species
GCGAGAGUGGCGGAACUGGAAUACGUGUACGGCUUAGGACCGUAUGCCGAAAGGCUUGAGGGUUCGACUCCCUCCUCUCGCACCA